rnacentral:lncRNA from 1 species
AGAAAAUGUUUCGAUAUGCUGACAAAUAACUAAGAACGCUGACAUAUUUGGGUCCAAACUGAAAGAAAGAAUGGGUUCUGCUGCUGCAGUUCAUCUCCAGCAAUAACACAGAACAAUGGUGCGCCGCAGUUCAUCUCUAGCAAUAACACAGAACAAUGGCGAGUACAAGCAAUGCUAACUCUGGAACAGAACUGGCAGUGAUCGGAUAAUCGGCUCUCUUCUCUGAAGCUAGAAUAUCAGGUCCUGUUGGUUGUCCCACAGAAAGCCAAUUAUUGAGAGAAUGAGUAUUGCCAGAGAAGAAGGCUUUAUUCGGGUGCUCCAGUUGAGAAGAUGGGAGGAAAUUCAGCAUAUUUUGAACACUGGGAAGAAAGAGUCCUUAAACUUACUGUUGAACAAAAAGAGCAAUCCGCAACAUGAAAACCAA